AACGAACGCUGGCGGCAUGCCUAACACAUGCAAGUCGAACGAGACCUUCGGGUCUAGUGGCGCACGGGUGCGUAACGAGUGGGAACCUGCACUUAGGUUCGGAAUAACUCCCCGAAAGGGGUGCUAAUACCGGAUAAUGUCAUCGGACCAAAGAUUUAUCGCCUUUGGAUGGGCCUGCGUUGGAUUAGCUAGUUGGUAGGGUAAAAGCCUACCAAGGCGGCGAUCCAUAGCUGGUCUGAGAGGAUGAUCAGCCACACUGGGACUGAGACACGGCCCAGACUCCUGCGGGAGGCAGCAGUGGGGAAUAAUGGACCAGGGGCGAAAGCCUGAUCCAGCAAGGCCGCGAGAGUGAUGAAGGCCUUAGGGUUGUAAAGCUCUUUUACCCGGGAUGAUAAGGACAGUACCGGGAGAAUAGGCUCCGGCUACCUCCGU
rnacentral:rRNA from 1 species